UCAAAUUUAACCUAAUUACUUCACAACCCUCCCCCUCUUCAUUGUUACACCACAAAAUUGAUUGUGGAAGGCCUGAAUCCGACGGGCCGAAAAUUGGGCUUGUUUGAAACCGGCGCCGUCGGUUGAGGUCGGCGGCGACCGGGUGUGGUUUAAAGUGGAGCUAAAUCCCCGGGAGACCACAAUUGUUUCUUGGAAAAAGCUUCUGAAAGAGGCCAAUUUGAGUGAGCCCGAAUACCCCGGUCCAUCUGCUCCGGGGCCGUCUCUUGAAGCCCGUGGGACGUAGCUGCCACCUCCUCCUCCGACAGCUUCUCCUACAAAUGAAACGGCGGAUAACGAAUCUAAGGAACCGCAGGCGAAUCGUUUGAUUGAAAGGAUUGAAAGAAUGAAUGCGAAAAUGAAAGCCACGAUGAAGAUGGAACAAAAUCGUUUCAAUCACGUUGCUCGAACGGUUCGCCUGCGAUUCCUUGGAUUCGCUAUCCACUAUUUCAUUCAUAUGAGAAGCUGCCGCAAAGAGGAGUAGGUGGCUCCGCAAUGGCGCCGCCACGGGCUUCAAGAGACGGGCCAGGAGGCGACGGACCAGGCCCAUCGGCCUCACUCAAAUUUGCCUUUUUCAGAAGAUUUUUCCGGGAAACAAUCGUGGUCUCCCCCAGAUUCAUCUCAACUUUAAACCGCACCCGGCCGCCGCCAGCCUCCACUAACGGUCCCUGCGGAUGGAUUCAGCGUCUUUCACCAUCAAUUAUGUGCUCUAUCAAUGAAGAGAAGUAGGGUUGUGACGAAAUCGGGUUGAAUUUUGUGGCAUUAUUGAGUUGAUGAGAGAGAGGAAAAGAUGAUUUUCAUUUUUCUCAUAUUUCUUUGGAAAUGUAACGGUUACAGCUAUGUCUGAUAUGAGGAAUAAAUGAUUUUACCCAAAUUAUUUGCAAA